rnacentral:rRNA from 1 species
UGAGCAAUCUGCCCUUCUCUUCGGAAUAAGCGUUGGAAACGACGUCUAAUGCCGAAUACGACCUCCUUUCGCAUGAUCGGAGGUGGAAAGCUCCGGCGGAGAAGGAUGAGCUCGCGGCCUAUCAGCUAGUUGGUGAGGUAACGGCUCACCAAGGCGACGACGGGUANCUGGUCUGAGAGGAUGGCCAGCCACAUUGGGACUGAGACACGGCCCAGACUNUACGGGAG